UUAUGGCACACAGCCCAGGAAGGGCACUCCUUCCCAGUAUUUAUGGUGCAACUCUACAACCCAGAGAGUUUUUCUCCAAGUUCUCAUCUUAGGUCACCAUGAAAACAAAUAUCCCCAAAAUUUGAGUAAGCAGCUCUGCUGUGAUUUCCCAAAUGUAAAACUACCAAUGUUCACAACUAAAAUUCAUAAGAACUGACUUAUCUUACUGUACAAUCCUGGAAUAAAUGAAAAGAUAUAUCCACUUAAAAAAAAACCACCUUAUUUUCUGAAGCAUAUGGAAUACAAACAGUUAACCGAACAGAAAAGGGAAGAUGUGUUGGCUGCUGAGAUACUCACCAAUGCUGCAGUCAGUCCUAUUCUGCACAGAAAGGAAAAAACAAAAAUAGAUUUUGCAGGAGGAAUAGAGUGGUCUUGCAAGAGUAGACAGAAUUCUCUCUUGCUGAAUAGGCACAUCAGCCCCAUUACAAGAGCAGUCAGCAAGAGAAGAAAACUCAAAGUUUUCAAUUCUGCAAAGCAGUCAGAUAACCAGAAUGGUUCAUCAAACCCUCUGAUGAAAUGGGGCUACACCACAGCCCAUGGGCAAGGCUUAGAUUUCAUUAAUAAAACACUGACAGAACGUAAAAGUGUCUGUGCUUGAUUUAUACCAUCAUCAUUAGGGCUGCCUGGAAAACAUGAUUGCUAAAUGUUGGUGUUUAAGAUCUGAAAGCAAAUCUGACCAGGCUGUUUUAUCAUCUCAUAGACAAGAACAGUGGCAUUAUUUUUUUAACUAUUAAAAAAUAUCUCAGGUGUUCCCAAGAUAAGUUUUGAGUUGUCUGGUUAUUUUAACCAUCACUUUUCAUCACAGAAAAAGGGGGAGAGGGAAGGAGGAGACAUCACUUCAGCUGUUAAUCUUUGUGGGACACAAUG